rnacentral:lncRNA from 1 species
CGUUUUUCGCACUCCUCGCACCAACGAGAACGAUGUCUCGACUCGCUCUGGCCCUACGAACGACCACGCAGCUUACUUUAUACGCUAAAACGUUUCAUCAAGGACAAAAUCUCUCUUGGAUACCCCUCCACGGGAAAAAGGAUAUUUGGAACGAGAACACGUCUGAGUAAUAACCUGCGUCACAACCUGAUACUUUUCCUCAACGCAAUUACGAACUCCGUGGGCUUAUUAAAAUUCUUCAGUCAGUAGUUCCUUCGACACCGCUACAGUUGACUAAAUUUAUAGGUUCGCUUCGUAAAACAUUAAAAAUCGAAAUGAAGUUUGAGUCCCAACUGUGUACCUGAUAAAAAAAAAACGGAAAUAUCAAGACUCGAUGCAAUAUGAAUAUUGAGAUUAUGACACAAUUACAAACAUUUUUAAAAUCUAAUUUAAAAAAAAAAACAUGAAUGAAAAAAUAAAUGGACUUUCAAUCUAAAACGAUAAUCGUGAAUAAGAAGGUCACGGCGGUUUGGUCAAUGACGCUCGAGCAAUUUCCCGGAGACCGUGGAUUUUGUCGUUCGAUGAAAGAGAGAGGGAAAAACAAAUGCUUUGGGGAAGCCCAGGCAUAAAAACGUCGACAUUGCAGAAAAACCUUCGAGCAAGAGGCGGAUAUCGUUUCGUGUCUUCGCAACUUCCUCCUCCUUCAAAAAUCCGGCCUUUAUAAGUUUCUUUAUUUCACUUCCCGACAUAUUAUUCCGGUCCUCAAAUGCGAUAACGAGGCUUGCAAAUUAUUUGACCUUCACGCUUCGUAAAUAGUCCAAUAACGGAGAAUAAAAAUCGUUCGAACCGAAAUUAAACAUUUCAGCUUUUGACAGUCUCAUCGAUGUUCGCUCGUAUGAACUGGAAUCUCCACGUAGUAAAAUUGUGCGUUCGUUUUGAAUUCCUUUCUACACUAAAGUAAUACACAGAGAAAAAAAUCAGGAAAGAUUCCGUAAGAAACCAAGGUCAGAACAUUUCGAAUGGGCCACAAAUGUUCUAUGUUUAGAAAGUGAACAAAUUUUCAAACAUUUUAAUUUUUUUUUUUCAUAUUAACGAACGAUUUUUAUCAUUAUAACGGUAGGUUUUUAUGGAUUCUUCAGUCCGUAAAAUAUUCAGUGAAUCAUUUGUUUUAUCGUUAUUAAAAAAUCUCCUUUUUCAUGUUCUAAUUGUUCAUUACAAAGUCUGAAUUUUCAUUCGGAUAAUCUCGUCAAAUGAGAAGUUUUAUUCAUGCAAAAAUGAAAUAUACCUCAGAGGCGCGCCAUUGGCACAUACCCAACGUAAUUGUAGGCCAAUAAUUCGUAGCGUGGAAUAAAAAUUGAGCAGCAGGAAUCAUUAAUCUGUCGAGAGAAAGGAUAUCUGGUACAAUCUUGACGUUUAUCAUUCCAACAUACACUGACAACUUCGAUAAAGUGAAAAAAAACGGGACCUGACCAUCAUCUUGGUUUUAAUGAACGGAGUAUUGAUGAUAAAAUUAUUAAGGGGCGGUCAACGGAAGUGAUAUUAGACUUUUGUGUUUGAUCGAAUUUUACUUAUUUUUUUGACAGCAAAAUUUCAUUCGAAUUUGACAGUUUUAGUUGUUUUCAAUUGAAUACUUUUGGUUACAAUUUUGUUCUGAGAUCAUCGUAGAAUCGGAAAUAUUUUAUUGAAAUUCGAAUCAAUUUGGCUUUCCUAACUUGAAUUUUAAAAAAUAAAAUGAAAAUACAGAUCCUUCGAAAUGAUUCACGUUUUUUCGAUUGAUCGUAUGGCGUUCGUAAAGUAUUGCAACGUUCUCUUGAAUUAACAUUAAAUUGGGGAACAAGAGGAUCAAUUAACGGUAAUAAUAAUGGAACGGUCGGGACGUAUCUAUAUCGUAUGUCGGUUGUAAUAAAACGUUAAUCAACGAAGGAAGUACGACUUAAAAGUUAGUACUUUACAAAAGGUCAUUUAGAUUUUGUGAAUCCGACUAAUUUGACAAUUUUCUCAGAAUUCCAAGAAUUUAACCAUUUUUUUAUCGAAUUCAAGGAAAAUUUAUUAAGUCCAUUAUUCGAUAAAGUGACACAUGAGUGAAUGACCUUGGGACUUUUCCAGUUUACUAUGUCAGGCCUUAAUUAAUUUCAGUAGGGUCAAGUAAGUUAACAAAGAAAAUUUCUUACGUGCAGAAAUAAACCUUUCUUGACUACUUUUCAGUUUAAAAAAUCUGACAAUGUUCAACUUUCAACGGUUUUUACUAUAAUAUUAUAACAAAUAUAAUGUUUAAAGAUUACAACAUUCAGAAAAUGUGAAAGUCUUAAAAAUUACGUUACAAUUUCUGUGUAUAUAUAUAUAUAUGAUUUUCUUAUGUUCAAAACAUAUUUUCUCGGAAUUUUUUAAAUUAUUUCAAUUCUGAUAUAAAUAUUCUUCAUAGCAUAUCGGCAGAUCCUUCAACCAUGAGAAAAAAAUCGAAGCCUCCUUAGUGGAAAGCUGAAAAUAAUGGAUAAUUGCUCUCGAAAAACUCUCGUAUUUUGUUUGUUGAAUGUGGGGUGUUCCAAGCAAAGUAAAUCAAUUUUUGUAAAUGAUCAUCGGAAUUUCCUAAAAAUCACUUUAGUCAAAGAUUGCUCUACUCUGCUUGGAAGACCCCUUAAAAAUGUCUAAUUCUUUUAGAAGCCAUUGGAAUUAUCGAGAGAGCACAAAUUAUCACGUUUUUGUCGAAUUGAACAUCGCAUUCUAUAAAUCACUCAAAAUAUCGUUUCUUCAUGUUUGAAUUUAUCUGAUCUUGUCCAAUAUUGGUUUCCAAUAAAGGUUCACUAUGAAAUAUUAAGUCCAACA